rnacentral:rRNA from 1 species
AUAACUUCGGGAAACCGGAGCUAAUACCGGAUAAUAUUUUGAACCGCAUGGUUCAAAAGUGAAAGACGGUCUUGCUGUCACUUAUAGAUGGAUCCGCGCUGCAUUAGCUAGUUGGUAAGGUAACGGCUUACCAAGGCAACGAUGCAUAGCCGACCUGAGAGGGUGAUCGGCCACACUGGAACUGAGACACGGUCCAGACUCCUACGGGAGGCAGCAGUAGGGAAUCUUCCGCAAUGGGCGAAAGCCUGACGGAGCAACGCCGCGUGAGUGAUGAAGGUCUUCGGAUCGUAAAACUCUGUUAUUAGGGAAGAACAUAUGUGUAAGUAACUGUGCACAUCUUGACGGUACCUAAUCAGAAAGCCACGGCUAACUACGUGCCAGCAGCCGCGGUAAUACGUAGGUGGCAAGCGUUAUCCGGAAUUAUUGGGCGUAAAGCGCGCGUAGGCGGUUUUUUAAGUCUGAUGUGAAAGCCCACGGCUCAACCGUGGAGGGUCAUUGGAAACUGGAAAACUUGAGUGCAGAAGAGGAAAGUGGAAUUCCAUGUGUAGCGGUGAAAUGCGCAGAGAUAUGGAGGAACACCAGUGGCGAAGGCGACUUUCUGGUCUGUAACUGACGCUGAUGUGCGAAAGCGUGGGGAUCAAACAGGAUUAGAUACCCUGGUAGUCCACGCCGUAAACGAUGAGUGCUAAGUGUUAGGGGGUUUCCGCCCCUUAGUGCUGCAGCUAACGCAUUAAGCACUCCGCCUGGGGAGUACGACCGCAAGGUUGAAACUCAAAGGAAUUGACGGGGACCCGCACAAGCGGUGGAGCAUGUGGUUUAAUUCGAAGCAACGCGAAGAACCUUACCAAAUCUUGACAUCCUUUGACAACUCUAGAGAUAGAGCCUUCCCCUUCGGGGGACAAAGUGACAGGUGGUGCAUGGUUGUCGUCAGCUCGUGUCGUGAGAUGUUGGGUUAAGUCCCGCAACGAGCGCAACCCUUAAGCUUAGUUGCCAUCAUUAAGUUGGGCACUCUAAGUUGACUGCCGGUGACAAACCGGAGGAAGGUGGGGAUGACGUCAAAUCAUCAUGCCCCUUAUGAUUUGGGCUACACACGUGCUACAAUGGACAAUACAAAGGGCAGCGAAACCGCGAGGUCAAGCAAAUCCCAUAAAGUUGUUCUCAGUUCGGAUUGUAGUCUGCAACUCGACUACAUGAAGCUGGAAUCGCUAGUAAUCGUAGAUCAGCAUGCUACGGUGAAUACGUUCCCGGGUCUUGUACACACCGCCCGUCACACCACGAGAGUUUGUAACACCCGAAGCCGGUGGAGUAACCUUUUAGGAGCUAGCCGUCGAAGGUGGGACAAAUGAUUGGGGUGAAGUCGUAACAAGGUAGCCGUAUCGGAAGGUGCGGCUGGAUCACCU